CAGACGUGUAACAACAACAAUCACACAACUGCAGCACGGAGGAAUGAAAUUCCCAACAUCAGGGUUACUACAAUCUUUGUUCUUUUUCUUCCACCAUGUGAACCCUUACCAGUAAGGAUGUCUAAGCUGAAUGAUGCAAGCUUAGACUGCAUGGCUUAAGCAAGCAGUUUUGUGUUUCUAUACAAAUAAUUUAGAAACACUUUCCAUUUCUGCCUGUCUUUUCUUAUGGCCAGCUCACCCUGCCCCAUUCUCUGGAGAGCAGUAGAUGCCAUGAGGGCAGGGGCGGAGGAAGGGGGGCGGAGGGGGCAGGCCGCCCCAGGUGUCAUCACUGAGGGGGGGUGACAUUCGGCACACCGCCCACCCGCGACUCCCCCCUUCCCCCUUCAUUUUGCCUGCUCGGGCGAGGCCUGGGAGUUGCAGGCGGGCAGUGCUGUUUCCUGGGGGGGGGAGUCUCCCCUGAGCUGUCAAAAGGAAGAGGGAAGGGAGGAAGUCUGUUGGCAAAGUGGCACAGCUCCCUUUACCCCCUUGCCCAGGAAGUAGCCCACCAUGGGCGUCUCGCUCCACCCCCUGGAUGUCUCACCCCCCUGGGACACUCGCCCCGCCCCCAUGGCUCCACCCACGGGUGCACAGCAUGUGCACCGCUCCAGGUGCCGGAGCAGCUAGCUCCGCCUCUGCGUGAGGGUACUGAUGCUACACUGUCUUGCACUGCUGGUGCUGUUUACAAUACCCACCAAGCUGUGUGUAUAUGUAGCUGUCGCUGAGAAUAGCACUUUUGCACUCGAUGUGGUCCAUGAAAGCUGAUGCCAUCAUAAAUUUGUUUGUCUUCAAGGCACCCCAAGACUCACGGUUGCUUUUGUUGCAACAAACUGAUGCGGCUACCCCCCUGGAAAUGGUUACGGUACUUUCCCUGAAGUCAGUGAAAAGUGCUACACGCUGAGGUGGAAAUUGGAUGGAGCCUCUCAGGAAGGUUUCCUUCAGAUCCCUGCAGAAAGCUGACCAAAAACAUCAGUUCUGCUAGGUCGUAGUAGAAAACUUUGUGGAAACAGCUCUUAGGAAAUGUACUGAACAUUUAAAAAAGCAUAACAAUGCUGCAGUAUAAAUGAAUGGUAUAUUGGUG